CAGGGACUUGGGGUGUCAAAUGGGCAGGGGCAGCAGGUGGUCUCAGGUCUCAGGGGAGGCCCCCAAGAUUCCUGGGGUCCAGCACCCUCUCCAGUGAUCCCCAGGUGUCCUAGUUGAGGGCAUGUGCAGUGUGACAGUGCCAUUGGGUGCCUGUGCCAGCGACAGAGUGCCCUGAGUACGGGUCCCUGUUGGAGCACUGCUCAGCUUUGGCUUAUGGUGGUGCAGGGGAUUGAACCUGGGACUCGAGAGCCUCAGGCAUGAGAGUCUCUUUGUAUAAGCAUUAUGCUAUUUACCCCUCCCCACCCUUUAUUUAAAAAUGUAUCAACACGAGUGCCACCCCAGCAUGCUUCACUUCAGACUGUGUCCAGAGACUUCAGGUGUGGAAUGACAACCCUUCAGCUUCGUUACUCGGGUGAGACCUUUCCUUUCAUAGGAUUCUCUAAUUCCAUUCCAGGUGUUCCACUCCCCAAUAAAGUCCCCAAACCUAGAUAUAGUCCAGGUCCCCUGAGAUAGAGCAUAGGUUCACCCGUGCCCAUAAACCAGGGAAAAAUAUAUACCUGAAAGCAGAAGUACACAAGAGUCUGCAAUGAGCACCCCCUGACACUUCACCUGCACUAGUCCAGCCUUUAGGUCCAUGAUUGAUCAACAAUUUGUUUGGCUUUAUAUGUUGACUCUCUUUUCAGCCACCAGGUUCCGGAUGCCAUCAUGAUGCCGACCAGACUUCCCUGGGCAGACAACCCCACCAAUGUGUCCUGGAGCCCUGCUCCCCCAGAGCCCUGCCCCACUAGGGAAAGAGAGAGGCAGGCUGGGAGUGUGGAUCCACCUGUCAACACCCAUGUUCAGCGGGGAAGCAAUGACAGAAGCCAGACCUUCCACCUUCUGCAUCCCACAGUGACCCUGGGUCCAUGCUCCCAGAGGGAUAAAGAAUAGGAAAGCUAUCAGGGGAGGGGAUGGGAAACGGAGAUCUGGUGGUGGGAAUUGUGUGGAGUUGUAAGCCUCCUAUCCUACGGUUUUGUUAAUGUCUCCUUAAAUAAAUAAAUUUUAAAAAAUAUUGCCUGCUGGGAUCAAAGUAGCACUUUGCACACAAGCUGGGCUCCACCCACUCUC